rnacentral:misc_RNA from 1 species
GCAAACUUGGUCAUUUAGAGGAAGUAAAAGUCGUAACAAGGUUUCCGUAGGUGAACCUGCGGAAGGAUCAUUACUGGGUUUUGCCGGGGGUUACUGGACGUUUCUAAAACAACCUUACCCUCCGGCAGCCAUGAUCAACCACUUGUGCACGCAUAGACUUUUUAACGGGCUUUGGCGGAUGUAAAGUCUGCCAAAGUUUUUGUUUAUCAAUAAACUUGUCUUAUAUUUGACUGAGUUUUAUUUAAAUAAAAUUAAACAACUUUCAACAACGGAUCUCUUGGCUCUCGCAUCGAUGAAGAACGCAGC